rnacentral:rRNA from 1 species
UACGAAGGGGGCUAGCGUUGUUCGGAAUUACUGGGCGUAAAGCGCGCGCAGGCGGUCUUCCAAGUCAGUGGUGAAAGCCUGGAGCUCAACUCCAGAACUGCCAUUGAAACUGUUAGACUUGAGUACGAGAGAGGUGAGUGGAAUUCCCAGUGUAGGGGUGAAAUUCGUAGAUAUUGGGAAGAGCACCGGUGGCGAAGGCGGCACACUGGCUCGUAACUGACGCUCAGGCGCGAGAGCGUGGGGAUCAAACAGG